GUCGUCUGCUGGGGUUAAGGUUCUCAUUUCCCCCUGCUUCACGCAUGGGUUAGUCCGCGAGGUUAUGUGGUCGGGCUCGCUAGGGCCCCCAUAUAUCUGGUCUUUUGCAUGUUUGUCUGAGCGGCCUCUCCGAGCCCCUCCUCAUCUCUCUAGGGGGCUUUGUCACCGGUUGACCCCACAUUUGUGUUGCGGUAGUAAAGUCGCUGUAUAAGUCGGUUGCCGGGUUAGGGUCAGCAUCCUAGGGAGGCAGUAGCACUCCUCCGGCUCGAGACCCUUAGGGUUUAUAUUUGCUCAGUCACCCACCUCGGGUCGUUUCCCC